UACGGAAGGUCCGGGCGUUAUCCGGAUUUAUUGGGUUUAAAGGGAGCGCAGGCGGCCUUUUAAGCGUGACGUGAAAUGCAGGUGCUCAACAUCUGAUCUGCGUCGCGAACUGGAGGGCUUGAGUGAGUUCGAUGUCAGCGGAAUUCGUGGUGUAGCGGUGAAAUGCUUAGAUAUCACGAAGAACCCCGAUUGCGAAGGCAGCUGGCAAGGCCUUUACUGACGCUAAAGCUCGAAGGUGCGGGUAU
rnacentral:rRNA from 1 species